rnacentral:rRNA from 1 species
GAUGAACGCUGGCGGCGUGCCUAAUACAUGCAAGUCGAGCGAACAGACGAGGAGCUUGCUCCUCUGACGUUAGCGGCGGACGGGUGAGUAACACGUGGAUAACCUACCUAUAAGACUGGGAUAACUUCGGGAAACCGGAGCUAAUACCGGAUAAUAUAUUGAACCGCAGGGUUCAAUAGUGAAAGACGGUUUUGCUGUCACUUAUAGAUGGACCCGCGCCGCAUUAGCUAGUUGGUAAGGUAACGGCUUACCAGGGCAACGAUGCGUAGCCGACCUGAGAGGGUGCUCGGCCACCCUGGAACUGAGACCCGGUCCAGACUCCUACGGGGGGCAGCGGUAGGGAAUCUGCCGCAAUGGGCGAAAGCCUGACGGAGCAACGCCGCGUGAGUGAUGAAGGUCUUCGGAUCGUAAAACUCUGUUAUUAGGGAAGAACAAAUGUGUAAGUAACUAUGCACGUCUUGACGGUACCUAAUCAGAAAGCCACGGCUAACUACGU